GACGAACGCUGGCGGCGUGCCUAACACAUGCAAGUGGAGCGACGAACCAGGGCUUGCCCUGGGGCCAAGCCGCGAACGGGUGAGUAACACGUGGGUAACCUGCCCCGAUGACCGGGACAACCCGAGGAACUCGGGCUAAUACCGGAUGUGGUGGACACACUUAAGUGUGUCCACUAAAGGAAGCUUCGGCCUCCGCAUUGGGAUGGCCCGCGGCCAUUAGCUAGUUGGUGGGGUAAAGCCUACCAAGGCGAACGAUGGGUAGCUGGUCUGAGAGGACGAUCAGCCACACUGGGACUGAGACACGGGCCCAGACUCCUACGGGAGGCAGCAGUGGGGAAUCUUGCGC
rnacentral:rRNA from 1 species